UGAAGAGUGCAGCCAAUUGCAUUAAUUAUUGCAAAUUGCAGAAUUCCGUGAGUCAUUUUUCUUGAAUGUAGGCAUACUCCUGGGCCAUUCCUGAGAGCAUUAUUUGUUCAGUGUUCAUU
rnacentral:rRNA from 18 species